UACGUAGGCAGCGAGCGUUGUUCGGAGUUACUGGGCGUAAAGGUGUGUAGGCGGUUGUUUAAGUUUGGUGUGAAUCUCCGGCUCAACUGGGAGGUGCGCCGAAUACUGAAUGACUAGAGUGCGGGAGAGGAAAGUGGAAUUCCUGGUGUAGCGGUGAAAUGCGUAGAUAUCAGAGGAACACCCGUGGCGAAGGCGGCCCUCUGGCUCGACCCUGACGCUGAGGCGCGAAAGCGUGGGGAGCGAACGGG
rnacentral:rRNA from 1 species